rnacentral:lncRNA from 1 species
CUAUGGAGGUCGGGUCAUUUAGUUGAGGUGGAGAGUUGGAGGUUUUGGAUAGUAGUGGAGAAAAGAACAUAAAGGCUAAGGGUUGAAAGAGUGUUGGGAGAGUGUAGGCUUAGUAUUCUUGAAGGGUCGAUCCAUUCUUCAUUGUUCUUGAAGGUAUUUCUAGGUAGAGGUCCGUGUAAGAUGGUGCUAACAUGUUAGACUUGCCAUCUAGUCAUCAUUACGGAGCACGUGGAAGGGAUGUCUUCAAUGGGACGAAG